rnacentral:rRNA from 1 species
GUAGUCCACGCCGUAAACGAUGUCUACUUGGAGGCUGUGCCCUUGAGGCGUGGCUUCCGGAGCUAACGCGUUAAGUAGACCGCCUGGGGAGUACGGCCGCAAGGUUAAAACUCAAAUGAAUUGACGGGGGCCCGCACAAGCGGUGGAGCAUGUGGUUUAAUUCGAUGCAACGCGAAGAACCUUACCUGGUCUUGACAUCCACAGAAGUUUGCAGAGAUGCGAAUGUGCCUUCGGGAACUGUGAGACAGGUGCUGCAUGGCUGUCGUCAGCUCGUGUUGUGAAAUGUUGGGUUAAGUCCCGCAACGAGCGCAACCCUUAUCCUUUGUUGCCAGCGGUUAGGCCGGGAACUCAAAGGAGACUGCCAGUGAUAAACUGGAGGAAGGUGGGGAUGACGUCAAGUCAUCAUGGCCCUUACGACCAGGGCUACACACGUGCUACAAUGGCGCAUACAAAGAGAAGCGACCUCGCGAGAGCAAGCGGACCUCAUAAAGUGCGUCGUAGUCCGGAUUGGAGUCUGCAACUCGACUCCAUGAAGUCGGAAUCGCUAGUAAUCGUGGAUCAGAAUGCCACGGUGAAUACGUUCCCGGGCCUUGUACACACCGCCCGUCACACCAUGGGAGUGGGUUGCAAAAGAAGUAGGUAGCUUAACCUUCGGGAGGGCGCUUACCACUUUGUGAUUCAUGACUGGGGUGAAGUCGUAACAAGGUAACCGUAGGGGAACCUGCGGUUGGA